rnacentral:rRNA from 1 species
AUGUGCAUUCCUACAACAUAGCAUUAAUGCACCAGAUACCAUUAGAACUCUCCAGUUAAGCACACUCAGGAUAGAGUAUUAUUGGGAUGGGUGACCACCCGGGAAGUCCUAGUGUUUUACAUG